rnacentral:rRNA from 1 species
UACGUAGGGUGCAAGCGUUGUCCGGAAUUAUUGGGCGUAAAGAGCUCGUAGGCGGUUUGUCGCGUCUGCUGUGAAAACUCGGGGCUUAACCCCGGGCCUGCAGUGGGUACGGGCAGACUAGAGUGCGGUAGGGGAGACUGGAAUUCCUGGUGUAGCGGUGAAAUGCGCAGAUAUCAGGAGGAACACCGGUGGCGAAGGCGGGUCUCUGGGACGGUACUGACGCUGAGGGACGAAAGCUAGGGGAGCGAAUGGG